rnacentral:misc_RNA from 1 species
AACGCACAUUGCGCUCUUUGGUAUUCCGGAGAGCAUGCCUGUUUGAGAAUCAGUAAAUUCAUCAACUCCAGGUUCUUGGAAUUUAUUCCGGGGCCUUGGAUGUUGGAUUUGGGAUUUUUGCCACUCCGGUGGUAAUGACCUGAAAUUGAAUGUUACGCUCCUUUGGACUGUGAGGUCUUGGGCAAACGCAUGAAUGGGGCAACUCAGCAGUACGUAAGCCUUUGAGAACUUAUCAAUUCAAGAGAUGGGUAACUCAACUGAUUAACCAGGGUUUGCUGGCGUCAGCCUGCUUAUUCUGAACACUUGGUCUCAAAUCAGGUAGGAAAACCCGCUGAACUUAA